UACGGGGGGGGCAAGCGUUGUUCGGAAUUACUGGGCGUAAAGGGCUCGUAGGUGGCCAACUAAGUCAGACGUGAAAUCCCUCAGCUUAACUGGGGAACUGCGUCUGAUACUGGAUGGCUUGAGUUUGGGAGAGGGAUGUGGAAUACCCGGUGGAGCGGUGAAAUGCGUAGAUAUCCGGAGGAACACCGGUGGCGAAGGCGGCUUCCUGGACCGACACUGACGCUGAGGCGCGAAAGCUAGGGGAGCAAACGGG
rnacentral:rRNA from 1 species